AUCAGCAUACUCUGCAGUUACAUUUUUUUUUACAUGACAUCAACGCAAAAUAAGUCAUCAUUUUAAUAAAUUAAGCAUAUUAACAGAGGAAAGACUGCAGGGCAUUUAGGUGAUAAUGUACCUGCUACAAACUAAAUGACACCUGGACUUCCCGCUGUUGUGUGAUUUCUGUCCCUGCUUCCCUUGCUCGAGGCAACCUGAGCACAGGCUAACUGAGCACAGUUAUUUGGGUGAACUGACCUCUCCCUCUAGGAUUUGAGUUUCACGUGACAAAACUUCACACACCGUCAAGCCAUCCAGGAAUGCUUCUCUGCACAGUAAGAGCACAUAGACAUUCUUCCAAAGACCUACCAGUUUGGUCACAUUGGAAACACAUCUGUGUGUCUGCAAGCUUUUUUUUCUUGAUUAGCACACUCCCACUUUGCCCUGCCAUCUGUAGUUUGUGCAGCUCCAGGCUAACGUCGUGGUAUAGCUGAGGGCGAGAGUAGACCUUUAGUCCUGUUGUGCUUGUAAGCAGCUGGCUUUGCAAUUUACUUCUAAAAUACUUUGUAAUAACAACUAACAAAGCGUCAGAAAAAAGGUUCACAUUCAAAGUGUUUUUGCCAAAGUGUGGUUCCAAGGUUUGUUUAACCUGAAGCAUCUUUUGUUUUUUUCAAGUCUUCUUCACCAGCUCGCAUGGCGGGAAACUUAAAACCCGGGAGACUCUCCCGUUCGAAAGAUCCACCGAACAUAGACAAAUACACCGAGCUAGCAAGCUUCAAUGGGAGGUAUCAGUAGGUGAAAUGUCAGUGCAACGUCUAUUUUCAGCAAAUGUUUGCGUUGAUCGGCUACCCACAGCUGUGCUGUAACCAGAUCCACAAGAUUCUUGUCCUCUCACACAGUGAGGGAGACAUAUAUAGAGAGAUAUAGAUAGAGAGCAUCAGGGGUGAAAAGGGCUUUUGAUAGAUUGUAAGGCGCAGCUUUGGCUAAAAUAAGCUUAUGGCAAAAUGUGUUGGCAGUGUCUCCUACUGUGGCCCAUAUGAGCUAAUUUCCACUAACCAAGCACUUGAGUUCAGGGAUAUGAAGUUACCCUCACAUAUACGGAAAUGCUGCCAUAGGUAUCGACUAAGAUUCAGCAAUGUCGUAUUUAUAGUGCAGUAGACACAAAGCAGCAGCUAGCAAGGUUACAAAAGCGUUUCGAAAAAAAACAAAGGUGUUCCCUAGAAAAGCGUUUUUAUAUGCAAAGAACAAGCUAAGAUCCUAGAGUUGAGACUCCCUGUGCUGUCACCUCCAAAACGCUGCUACUGUAAGUCUACAUUAUGUUACUGUGCAUGUGUGUUUGUUUGUUUGUCCACGUAGUUAUUUUUGGCAGAAGAGGAACUGUUGCCAGACGUACCAUUGAAGGGGAAAAGGCAAAAAAGGGAACAUCCUGAUGUCUGACAACUCUUAAAGACGUCUUUUCCACUGAGCACUCAACGGUCGACUAGAUGAAGAGCAACAGUUCGGCCAUAGUCUCAUGUUACCGUUCUUCAGGAUUACCGUGUUUCACCAUUAAACGAGACGCUGGAGAAAAAGCUGAGGCAGAGUCUGGCUCGGCCUACACUCACAGUAUUACAGCCAUGCUAGGACUUUCAUGUGACGUGAACAAUUAGCAACGGAGAUGCAGAAACUUGUAACAUUGGCAAAGUAUCGACUAAUUUCUGAAGUCUAAGGUUGGUUAGAAAGAAAGCCAACAUGGCAGCUGCUUCUCCUCACUAUACACUCACAGUAUUGUCAGUUAGUUUAUAGUGUGUGGCGCAGUUGGUAAUCUUAGCAGAUCAUCCUUGGCGUAUGGAAGUGGUUCUACGCUGAUUUUGUGGUUGUUGUUGUUGAUAUUUUUUCUUUUUUGCAGCUCCAUCAACCCGCGCGGUCCCUUUGUUGUGCAAGUGUGAUGUUUCCAGUCCACAAAGCUACUCGGACUGAAAGAGAGUGAAGUGAAGAGAGAGGCCAGUUAGAGGAGAGUGUUCGCUGACGGCAUGCGUCGUUCAGUCUGGGCCUAUUACCCAACACCAGCUCGCCUGUUUCAGUGACAUUACACAAUGAUCUGGAGAUAAUGACAUGUGCGUAAGAUGGAAAGUAUUACAACACUUACAGUUGUGGAUGAGUGGCUCAUUUUGUCAAAGCGGAACUUCAAGUUUGACCUCGGUGACGUCUUACUUUUCACAUCUGCAGAAUGUGGAAGAAGGGAACGGAAAAGACGGGAAGGAAAUGCUCAUUAGAGAAUCUGUCAUCUCCAGGAUGUCGUUCUUUGAAAAUCGUUGACAGCUGAGCGGUGAUUGCCGUGUGUAAAUUCGUAGGUUUACCUGUUGGACUGCGGCACAUGAUGACAGGGGUACCGGAUCCCUGGCUGUCGACACUGAGGGAAGGACUAAAGGCGGAGGAGGAUGUUAUGGAGGGAUGGCUGGCCUGGGGGACGGAGAGAACAAAGACAUUUACCACGGAGGAAGAGAUGGAGGAGGAAAGAAACUGAAGAGGCUCAGUGAAGCACGGAAAUGAUAUUUUGCUGAAGUUGACUGAAGCCUUCCUGUGAGCAAAGUUAGAGGCACUGAAUGUUUGGCAGGAAAUACAAGUGGAAAUGAUGCUUUGCAGGGAAGAAAAAAACACAACAAGUAGGAGGAAAAAAUGAAAUGGGCUGUAUGUGUUUUGCCUCUGUCAGCUGUAACGACCACCAUAUAUUUGCUGAUACCACAGUCUAUGGCUGAUACCCUCAGCCAUCACUGCUCACCAUAUGAACAUUCAGAGGAACAGAGGAAAUGAAGCUCUUAUUGACGCAGGGUUGUCUACCAUAUCACUUCUUUGUUUCACCGCAUCUGAAGGAAUGUUAGCCAGCUAACAACAGCAAAACAUGCUUGUCUUAACCUGAUGAUGUGUCUGUCAUGUGUUUGAAUUUUUGUAUUUUUAAUUAUGUCAAGAAAGUAAAAAAUAAUGAAAAGUA